AAGACAAAGAAAAGUCAGAUGAUUAAUUGACUUGACAGCACAGGCGUGGCUGUUUGACUUUUGAGGUUACGGAGAAUGUCCUUGGAGCCAGAAAUUCACUAGAUCAACCCAAAGCAAUGAAGAUUUGGAAGUUUUAUUCAGAGUGCAACAGCAGAAUGAGCUUCAGUUACACUAAAAAUAAUGAGUAAAAGGUUCUGUCUGGAUGGAAAGAUAAUUUCAACAAAUAUAAGUUGGUCGUAAGUGUCUAUGAUGAAAAAUGAGAAAACUAUUGACAAAAAACGGCUAGCUCAUGGGGCUCCUAUUGCAUAAUAAUAAUAAAAACGGAGAUUGUGCAAGAAAGAAAGGAGGAGGUUCAGAUGAAAAAUAAAGUUUGUUUGAGGUGUCAAUGAAAAAAAUGUGAAAGCUCUUGACAAAAAACUGAUAAGCUCCCUGGUCCAUUUGCAUGCACUUUUGAGAUGAUUUUAGCCUAUAUAUUUGUUUACAUUUUGGCAAAUCUGCAUCAUGAAAAGUGCUGCUGCUUUGGCUACUAGGAGUUCUUUUCACACUGUACAGACAAGAACUACCUGGAUUACUCUGAUACUGAAAAACAAGUUUGAAUUGGAUGAUUACGAGACAAGAUCUGAUUAAAUUAUAAAAAGUGCCUUUUUUAUAUUAUUUAUGGAUGUCUGUCCCUGAUGGACAUCUAAGACCUGACACCACUGUUAAAUGUGAAUUAUGCUGGUUGUAGCAAGGUAUGUGUGAUGUCUGUGUGUUUAGAUUUGACUGAGUUAUGACUCUGAGAAGAAGCUGUGUUAUAUUUAUGGUGAAUUGUGUCAAUUGGGAGACAGGUCCGGGGAGCAUGCAGUUGGAAAUUUGGGCAAUGAUCUCUCCUUCCCCCAUUUAAAAUACUGAAUAAUAAGAAAGAAGAAGUAAAGAGAUGCUGUAACUUCAGGGAGGAGUGAACCCUUUUCAGUAGAUCUCAUUAUUUAAGCAAUUCUUUGUAUUUCUAAGGACAAAGCUGAGAGAGACAGUGCAUUAAAGAACUACCAUUAUUGAAAAGCCUUUCACUCAAGUCUAGACAGUCUCUGUCUGUUCAUCACUUUGUAACAAAAAGUCAUAUUACAAGAUCUUUCCUUUGGAAAAGCGCAUAUAUACCAUGAGAGCUCCCAGGACAGCAACUGUACUGAAAUUCACCCUGUGUCCUCUGGCUGUGAACAGUAACCAGUCCAGGUGUACUGCGCAGUGCUUGUACUUUAUUGUGUGCUUCUGAGCACUUGACUGUUUUCUUCAUUUCGUGUGUCUGACUCCCACACAAAGCCUUCGAGACCGUCCAACGGUCGAUUUGUGAGUCUAAUGUGCAGGAAGAAAAAGUUGCCGCUGCCGCGGCCCCGGUGGACUCCAGGCAUUCGCUCUGUCUCUCAGCCAGCCUCUGAGGCAGGGAUUACCCAUUAAACCUAGGGAUGUCGAGACAGAAAGAUGAAAAAGACUACUUUUCUCUGGGAGACACUGCAGAGAGAAGAGAAUUAAAGGGGCUUUCCUGACAAGAGCCCACAGGGUUUAGAAGAGCGAAACAUGGCUGUCAAAUACAGCAAGAAGACACUGCUUCUUUGUAAAGGGGCACAGAAAGAAAAGGUUGGGAAUCACUGGUUUAAUCUUUAACAAUAUAUUGUAUUUAAUAAGCUUAUCGGUUUUUUUGUUGUUCUUUACAAUACUUCUCUUUGAAAUUUAGAGGAGUAGAAGUACCAUAAAAUGGAGUAAAAGUAUGUCAAAACUGCACAUAAGUACAGUAGUUGAGUAAAUGUACCUAGUUACUUUCCACCACUGCAUGACAGAAGAGUAAAGAAAUAAGGCAGCUAUGUAUUUAAGUCAAGAGCAACAGCAGAUCUCAGCAGAGUUGGAAGGUAGGCAGACCAAAACAGUACGUGAACAGUUUCUUGAGAUAUAAGUUCUGAUCAGAAGACACAGUGUGACAGUAGUCCACUCAGGAGUACAGAGGUCACUCCAGCAUUGGGUAUUCUGAGGAGAGCUGGGCUAAGAAAGACCACAAAGUUGGGAGUAAAGUUAUAAAAGUGUAAGGCUUGAAGUAUAGGGUGAAGGUUUACACCAUGGAACAGAGAUAUGCAGCUUCCACAUCAGCCUUGAAUGGCAGCACGAGGGAUCUGAAUUUGAUCCACAGAGGUGUGGGAUGUUACUGAACUAAAAAAUGGCAGAUUUUUAAGGUUGACUGAGAAAAGCAGGUAAGGGGACACAGAGAGAGCGACUCAACAAAAACAUGAAAACCUACUGUUUCUUUUAUUGCCAGCCUGUCAUUGUGCCUGUGCGUGUGUGUGUCUCCAUGUCUAUAAAUGGGGAUGCAGUCAGCCACACAGACAGAAAGGUCAGAGAUUCUGUGACUCUUCAACUCUCUGCAGAACCUUUUCUUUGGCAUGCUGGUACUCUCUCCUUCUGUCACCACGGCAACGCGGCAGAGGACAAUACAGUACUGAGCAUCGCCAUUACUCAGGUCAGUGACUGGGACUGAUCUGCCAUGAGUACAAGGAGAAUCAUUUCCAGGAGCAGACUCUGCAGCAGCAGCCAAGGAUAGGGACACACUGUAGAACUUAUAGUGUGAUUACAGCUGCAGCUGGGACACCACAACUCAUUUAAAACACUGUUAUACCAGUCUAAAACUGGUCUCAUCCAGCUGCACAAAGGACCGCUGGCACAGAUGACAGACCUGUGGUGUGUUAAUCUAACCACCAUAAUGUUUUCAAAGUAUAAGAAGUCAUCAUGUAGAGUGUCACUGACACAAACUACUUGAUUAACACAAAACAAAUCAAAACCUUUUUCAUAUUCUGUUGUACUAUGCAUGCAAGAUAAACUUUAUAGUCUAUAUAUGUGAAGAUUCAAGGAACAGGGAAAUACAGAGGUGCAAGGUCUGAAAUAAUGCAUAUUGCAAAGAUAUAAAAUAUGACCAUCAAAAGGACACCUUGAGAAAAAUCAGCAGCAAAUUUGCAGAGCUGUUUACUGAAAAUAACUGUUUCCAAGGCUUUUCAAGGUAAAUGCCAGCAUGUACUGCAUGUGCAAACAAUUAAAAGGGCCUUACUGUCAAAUUGGGUAACAUAUUACUUCAUUACUCUAAAUUAAUUUUUGAUGUUUGGAGAGUAGUUCUGUGUCACAUUUUCCAUGUAAACGUGUAUUUUUAAUAGUUUUUGGACAAUAAUGGAGUUCUUUUGCACAAAUAUUGUUUUUUUGUCUUUUCAUGGAAUUCAUUGGUUAUAAAAAGAUAAAUAAUGAUUUAUUCAUUUAUAGAAGGAUUUGUAACAGCAUUUAGAAAGGCAGGAUUCAGAAGUGCCAGUGAUACUUAUAAUAGUGGCUGAGGUGUCUGUGAGGGAUACAUGGCAUACAGUAACUCUAAUGCAGGUCCACUGUCACAAAAGUAUGGAUCCCACCAGGUUAUGAGUAAAAACUCUGUGACUGGCCCACUCAACCAAAAUACACUGAGGGUAAAGGUGCCAGUAUGCUUGUCCUCCGACAAGCACGUCCCUCCCCCCACACCUUUCUGAUGUCGGAAUUGGGGGGGCUGUGUCUGACAAUUUCUGUAACUUUGCAAAACCAAUAAUGUCUGAAAAUGUGCACUGUUAUCCCCAUAUUUAAAUGAGAUCAUGUCUCCACCCUCUCUAUGACGGGUGGCUUUUUACUCUACCUUCCAGUGUGGCCGUUUGGAACAGCUAUAAACGCUUUGCCUUCUGACGAGGUCGGACAACACGUUGUACGAACUAGUUCUUUUCGAGCACAACUUGAUUCUAACUCAGGAGAACACUAGCAUGUCACUGGGACAGAUCCCUAUUCCUGUUCUUGUGGUGCUGCCCAGAGCUGUGGACUGCAAAAAGUCCACCAGAAAGUAAAUUUGAUAUAAUCUGAAUGUCCCUUUAUUCCUAUUCUUGUCAUAUAGUUUCUCAGAGCUCUAUUACCAUUAUCUGAUGUAGCCGUCAUGUUACAUCAGCUUCAUGUACAUAGAUGUAUAUUGCCUACAUCUUUGUCUAUCAAAACAAAGAGAAACAAUGAACAUCUCUAUUAUGCCAAAUAUAACUACUUGUGACAUAACCUACCUAAAGUUUCCAAAGUCGAAAACCUCACAGCACGUUUUCACAACAUUAGUGAAAUCAAUGCUUUUCCUUCCAGUGUGCUAAGCCUUUCUUCCUGCAGAGCUGCAUUCACAUUCAGUGGGCUAAAGCCAUUAAGGUCAAGAUGGCAGAGCCGAUGACACACUAUGCAUGUACUUAACCUUUUUCUGCAGUUUCACACUGAGCGGGCGGGGCACUUGAAAUGGAGAGGGCUCCACAGUACAGCCUAAUGGAAACGGUGAGGGCACACACUACGAGCCACACAAUGCAUUAAGACGGAUAGAUACAGUGGUGUAAUGGCAUUACACAUUGCAGAUGUACACACACAGCCCGUAACAAAACAUACAUAAAUAAACACAAUUUAUGACAAAUAAAUAAGUCACAUCAAGAUCAUGCAAGGACAAGUACACACAACAUGAAAUUUAGUAUGUAUAAAGUGUUCAUUUAAAUAAAUACAUGUAAGCAAGCAAGGGCACACAUGUAUACAAUAUGCAAACUGAACUACAAAGGAAACAUGUACACACCUACAUAGACUUUCUCUCAAAGAUAUCUUAAAAUGUAAAAAAAGAAAUAAGAUGCAAAUGAAAG